rnacentral:lncRNA from 1 species
CACGAAAAAGCCAAAAAAAUAGUGUUAGAUCAUCCUAUCUAAACCCAUCUAGGCCUUUUUGCAAAUUUUCUCUUCAGUGUUUUGUUUUGUUAAAUUUGCGAUUGCUUCAUCGUGUCAAGUUGCUGGUCGUCAUGUUGCCGCCGCACAAAUGUUACCUCCACUGCCAUAUACCUCCACCACAUAUCCGUCGUCCCAUAAAACCACCAUAUAUCUGUCGCCCGUUCCAUAAAACCACCACAUAUCCGCUGCCAUAACACCAUACAUUUCUGAUAAGAGAACAAGUCAACCUUUUCAUGGGCAUCAUACUUGCAUUUGAAGUGGUCAACAUACUCCACCACUCCAUCCCAAAAUACGGUUGAACACAUGUCAAGACCCCGACUCAAUGCCACAUCGAUCUAGCAUGUAACACCUCAUAUCACUUUGCGGCCUCACGCACGGUAUUCCCACGGGUGUCGCCCUACCUUUACCCGGGACCGUUUGCGCCUUUUGGCACACGUAUAUGACAGUGUCGCUAGCAUCUAUAUGAUAAGGAGCCCGGGCUGACAUGGCUAGUCGUAAACCCAAAGUGGCACAAACUUACAGGGACAGGCAUCCAUGACCCAGCAUCGAACGUGUCGGUCAUCAGCGAGUGAAUUCAGGCUGUAGCACUGGGCUAGCAGGACUCCGGUGAACCGGGCUGUAGCGGGCUAACAGGACUCCGGUAUUCAUCGCGUGACAUUUCCCCGAAGGGACAGACACAGGAACGAAGAAGGACACAUGCCGGCCAGCCUAAGUGUUCCGGAGCAGUAGCAAGCUACCAUUGGAAACACUAGGAGACAUUUCCCGGUAAGAGAGGCUACUAAGGAUAAACAACUAGAUAGUCAGAUCCCACACAUACCAAGCAUUUCAAUAACAUACACACAAUAUGCUCGAUAUGUGCAAACACAACAUGGCAUCACAACAUGACUCUACAACUCAAGUAUUUAUUCAUUAGGCUCCGAGGAGCGAGAUAUUACAAACAUAGGUCUCAUGACCCAACAUUCAGAGCAUACAAGUCAAAGCACAAGCGGAAGCUAUCAUGUCUGAGUACAGACAACUAUAAAUGAAAAAGGCUGAGAAGCCUGACUAUCUACCAGAUACUGCCGAGGGCACAAGAUCGUAGCUGAGGUAACAAGCUAAACGUCGAAGUCCAAGCGGAACUACUAGUGAGACUGAAGUCUCUCUGCAAAAACAUAAAAUAGGCAAACGUGAGUACAAAUGUACCCAGCAAGACUUACAUCAGAACUAACUACAUAUGCAUCAUUAUCAACAAAGGGGUGGUGGGGUUUAACUGCAGCAAGCCAGCUUUGACUCAGUGGCUAUCCUAAACUACGACUGCAAGCGACUCUUUUGAGGUGACGCACACGAGUCCACAUAUUCACCAUAUCAAUACACCACUAUGGAUCCGCUCCCGUCUCCCUACGAGAACGCCAUCCAUAGCACUCACGCUUAUCUUGCGUAUUUUAGAGUAUCCACUUUCACUUUGUCUAUGAACUGAUAUAAGCAAUCCAGAAGUCCUUUUCCGCGGACACGGCUAUUCGAAUAGAUUAGGUUAACCCUGCAGGGGUGUACUUCUUCAUACACGCUCUCACCACUUACCGUCGUUUACACGACAUGUACUCGGCAACCUUCAAACGGAAGCCCAACGUGGGUGUCGGCCACGACCUACCUAAUCACCUAAGUCUCUAGUCCAGGUUUAUCGCCUAUUCGGGUUCCAUCCAUGAGGAGAUCCGGCCGGAGUUUCGCUCACAGCCCCAAACGAUGUGAACAGGGUUCCCGAGACACCAAACGGGCGCCUGGUACACCGUGCCACGUGCCUACCGCAUCACAGCCCACCCCUACGGUCAGCGCUGCCCACGGCCUCCAGCAUACUACAAACACCAGAAACUACUUGCAACUCCUGGACAGAGGACAAGGGUGAUCAAGAAGCCGAGAGGGUCCAUUGGUUUCGAGCCCAAUGCGUGGUAGUAGCUGAAUCAUGGAUCACAAACACAGAACUCAGUUCCUGAGGACGGCUGCAAUGAGACAACCCACCAUGUACUCCUACAUGGCCUCUCACCGCUACCUUUACCAAAACGUGUUCACACACUUAGCUCACACACAGUAGGACAUGUUCACACGCCUCUGAUUCAUCCCCGAUGAAUCAGACCUGACUCAACUCUAAGCAGUAGCAGGCAUGACAAACAAGCAAGAAUGAGUAGGCACAACAGGGCUCAAACAACUCCUACCCAUGCUAGUGGGUUUCAUCUAUUUAGUGUGGAAUGACAGGUCAUGCAAAGGAUAAAGGGGUUCAGCUACCGCAGCAAGUAACAGAUGAAUCGUUGUUGUCCUAAUGCAGUAAAAGAGAGCAGGAGCGAGAGAGUGGGAUUGUAUCGGAAUGAACAAGGGGGUUUUGCUUGCCUGGCACUUCUGAAGAUAACAUUGAGUCUUCAUCAGUGUCAACGAUCACAACGUCGGAACAUUGUCUACCGGGAGGGAACAGAUACCGGCAACAAAGAAGAACACAAUCAAUGCAAUGCACAAAAUGAUGCAUGCUAUGACAUGGCAAUAUGAAUGUGCUUUGAGCUAAUGCAACUAGCAACAGAUUAAAUGAAGUUGGUUUGAAUACAAGAUUCAAAUUCAAACUCCAUAUGUGAUUAUUCAAAUGCCAUUUAAUUGAUUUGUGCUAUACAGCAGCUAUAAGUUGUUCUAACAUGCAUAAAAAUGGUGCAGAUGGAUUCCUUGAAUUUUUCUGAUAAUUUUUCAUAUAUAAAUUAUUUAAUUUGGAGUUACGGUUGAAUUACUAUGAAUUUUUGAAGUUUUGAACAUUUUCUGGAAUUUCCUGAAUAUUUAGAAUUAAAAUAAUUCCAGAAAAUGAUUUAACUGCGUCAGCCUGACGCCAGCAUGACGUCAGCGAGUCAAUGGCCAGGUCCAGGUCAAACCUGACGUGUGGGGUCCACACGUCAGUGACACAGGAACUAAUCCCGGUCAAACCCAGCGCUGACUGGGGUUUGACCAGGGGUGGGGCCUACUGUCAGUGGCUAUAGGUGGUUUAGUUAGUUGGAUUAGCUCCUAAUGACGGAGCCACGUCAGCUCCCGCCGGAGUUUCGCCGGCGACGACCAUGGCCGACGACGGAGAUGCAACGUUUGCUCGCUACGGAGCACCAUUCGACGCGUGGUUUGCUCCUACGGGUAGCUGAAGAUGCGCCGCAUCCAACUGGGCGAGCGGCAGCGGCUGUGGUGGCCGGAGCUCGCCGGAAACGAGCUCGCGGCGGCGCCGGAGUUCGGGCGCCGAUCGAUUCGACGCUAUGGUGCGCUACGGGAGAAACUGGUGGGUGCUGCGGGCUCCUGAGGUUGCGGUGAGCACGACGGUGGGCUCGGGAGCGAGCUGCGGUGGCUGUGGCCACGGCCACGCCAUGGCCGGCGGCGAGAAGCUCUCGGCCGCGGUGGUAACGGCGGCUACGGAGGGAAAUAGAGCACGGGGAGAGAGGGGUUCGGCAGAGGAGCUCACGGCGAGGUCGACGAGCAGCUCGGUGGGCUCGGUGAGGUGGCGGAGACGGCGAAUCGACGAGCGGCAUCCGGCGGCCGUGUGUGAAGAAGACGGCUCGAUGACGGCGAUGCAGGGCGUCCGAGGUCGCUUGACUCGUCGGAGAGGAUGAGGGCGAGGUAGCCGAGCUACUGGGCACGCCGAGGGUCGAGGGGGAGGCUCUGGGUGCGGCAACGGCGAGCGGCGGCGAUGAGCUCCGCUCGGGCUGCGCGAGAGAGAGAGCAGAGGAGGGGGAAGGGGUCGAGAGAGAGUGCGAGGGGGUUCCAGGGGGUGGCGUGGAGCUGCGGGAGACGUCCAGGAGAGGAGGAGGCAGCCAGGCAGGGAGGAGGUGGCCGGGGCGCGUGGCCGCGCGCGCCACCGAGCAGCUUCGGGGCGAGGGGGAGGAAGACGACAGGGGGAGAAGCGGCGGUGGGCUGGGCCAGCUGGAGGAGCUGGGCUAGGUGGGGCUGAGGUGAGCGCCAGGUAGUCCUCUGCUCUUUCUAUUUUUGUUUUUAUUUAUCUAUUUUGUUCUGUGUUGUUUUAGUUUAGUAAUAUACUAAACCAUUUUAUAAAAUCCUGAAAAUAGUUAUGUGGCUAGAACUAAAAUAUACCAAACCACAUAAAAUGUUCCAGUAAUUAUUGGACAUAUAUUAUUUAUAUAUCAAAUAUAUAUCCAAUGCAAAUAGCUAUUUAUUUAAUUCAAAGGCCCAAAAUAAUUAACUCUGAGAUACCAAAAAUAUUGUUUUGAGUUUUACCUCUUUGCAAUAUUUUCAAAGACUAAGAGAAACAUUUUCUUGGACUUCUUUGAGGAGAUUUUAAUGUUGAUCAUUUUUAAAAGGUUUCUGAGGCUUUGAAAAUUCCUCAAUUCAAAUUUCAUUUGAAUUAAAACAUGAUGCUCACAUGAGGUCUAGCCUAGUGCAUAACAGGACCAGGGAUGUGACAACACAUGCCUCCCCCAUCCGGAAGUGUCAUCAAAAAAGCUUAGGACGGAAUAGCGAGUCAUUGAGCUAGAAAUAAUAGUUGUAGAGUAGGCAAUGGUUGUUUUCUUUAUUACGAUUCAACGCCGGAGCAUGGCCCGGGAACGACCCCCUAAACAUUGGCCGCUGCCUAGCAAUGUGCUCAUUGACGACCAAAGUAGCUAACACAACAUCACUAUAAUCGUCAGACGAUUCUUCAAACAAAUAUCAACAUAUGAAGUUAUUUAGAAAAAACUCAUCCAAGUUGUCCAGUGAUGAAACAGUACAUCAAUGGAUUGAGGCGGGCAUGGACAAGUAUCAGCCGAGUCGGGCAAACAGCCGAACUCCUUGCAGGAGGGUGGGUGGCGAGUCGCGAUCGAUGAAUGGAGUCCAUGGAGACGGAGGCAAAGGUUGUCGAACCUUGUGUCCUCCGACGAUGACCUUAGAGGUAGUGGUGGGCUGUCAUCGACCCUAGGAUAGGCAGGCCAUGGAAGAAGCGGCCAGAACGAUGGCAAAAAGGGCGUCGACGGAAGAGGCGGCAGCAGGGGUGGGGCGAUGGCGUAGAGGCCAAAAGUGGGAUUGCGGCAGCGAUGGCGAUGGCAAAGAGGAUGGGGUGGUAGUUGGGGGAUGAAUGGUCUAUGUGCCAUAGACGGGCCGGGCACCGCGGGUGCACUGUUCACUUUCCGUAAUAUUACACUUGUAUAUGCAAACCUCCUAUCAAACGCUUCAGUUUAACUUCAACUGGCGACAAGGAGGAAAAUACGUAACAUACUAGUCCUUUCAAUUUCCACACAAAGUGUAUGCACAUGCAAUGCAUUCAUAUUUCUUAUUGUUGCUCACCUUCUCUGCGCAAUAAAUAUCCAAACUAAAAAUCCCAUCUUUUCUUCACCCGGAACACU